CUUGGCAAGUCGAAACCAGAAAUGAGCCCCUACUUGCUGGGGUACUCGAGUGGCGAACGGGUGAGUAACACGUGGGUGAUCUGCCCUGCACUUUGGGAUAAGCUUGGGAAACUGGGUCUAAUACCGAAUAUGACCACUUCUUGGAUGUUGUGGUGGAAAGCUUUUGCGGUGUGGGAUGAGCCUGCGGCCUAUCAGCUUGUUGGUGGGGUAAUGGCCUACCAAGGCGGCGACGGGUAUCCGGCCUGAGAGGGUGUACGGACACAUUGGGACUGAGAUACGGCCCAGACUCCUACGGGAGGCAGCAGUGGGGAAUAUUGCACAAUGGGCGCAAGCCUGAUGCAGCGACGCCGCGUGGGGGAUGAAGGCCUUCGGGUUGUAAACUCCUUUCGCUAUCGACGAAGCCACUUGUGGUGACGGUAGGUAGAUAAGAAGCACCGGCUAACUACGUGCCAGCAGCCGCGGUAAUACGUAGGGUGCAAGCGUUGUCCGGAAUUACUGGGCGUAAAGAGCUCGUAGGUGGUUUGUCGCGUCGUCUGUGAAAUCCCGGGGCUUAACUUCGGGCGUGCAGGCGAUACGGGCAUAACUUGAGUGCUGUAGGGGAGACUGGAAUUCCUGGUGUAGCGGUGAAAUGCGCAGAUAUCAGGAGGAACACCGAUGGCGAAUGCAGGUCUCUGGGCAGUACUGACGCUGACGAGCGAAAGCAUGGGUAGCGAACAGGAUUAGAUACCCUGUAGUCCAUGCCGUAAACGCUGGGCGCUACGUGUAGGGGGCUUCCCGUCUCAGUGCCGUAGCUACGCAUAUCCGCCCCGCUGGGAGUACGCCGCAAGGCUAAACCUCAAGGAUUGACGGGGCCGCACAGCGGCGGAGCAUGUGAAUAUCGAUGCCACCCGAAGACCUUUACUGGCCUGGACUGUACGAUCGGGCUAAAGAUGCUUUCCUUGGGAUCGAAA
rnacentral:rRNA from 1 species